rnacentral:rRNA from 1 species
ACGCGUGGGAAUCUACCCAACCCUACGGAAUAACCCAGGGAAACUUGGACUAAUACCGUAUACGCCCUAUUGGGGAAAGAUUUAUCGGGGAUGGAUGAGCCCGCGUUGGAUUAGCUAGUUGGUGGGGUAAAGGCCUACCAAGGCGACGAUCCAUAGCUGGUCUGAGAGGAUGAUCAGCCACAUUGGGACUGAGACACGGCCCAAACUCCUACGGGAGGCAGCAGUGGGGAAUAUUGGACAAUGGGCGCAAGCCUGAUCCAGCCAUGCCGCGUGAGUGAUGAAGGCCCUAGGGUUGUAAAGCUCUUUCACCGGAGAAGAUAAUGACGGUAUCCGGAGAAGAAGCCCCGGCUAACUUCGUGCCAGCAGCCGCGGUAAUACGAAGGGGGCUAGCGUUGUUCGGAAUUACUGGGCGUAAAGCGCACGUAGGCGGACAUUUAAGUCAGGGGUGAAAUCCCAGAGCUCAACUCUGGAACUGCCUUUGAUACUGGGUGUCUGGAGUAUGGAA